CAGCAGCCGCGGGAAUACGUAGGGUGCGAGCGUUAAUCGGAAUUACUGGGCGUAAAGCGUGCGCAGGCGGUUUUGUAAGACAGGCGUGAAAUCCCCGGGCUCAACCUGGGAAUGGCGCUUGUGACUGCAAAGCUAGAGUGCGGCAGAGGGGGAUGGAAUUCCGCGGGUAGCAGUGAAAUGCGUAGAUAUGCGGAGGAACACCGAUGGCGGAGGCAAUCCCCUGGGCCUGCACUGACGCUCAUGCACGAAAGCGUGGGGAGCAAACAGGAUUAGAUACCCCGGUAGUCCCUGUCUCUUAUAC
rnacentral:rRNA from 1 species